rfam:Delta proteobacterium NaphS2 ctg_1101087565848, whole genome shotgun sequence.
UGAAUCCCGCCCCGGAAGGCUGGCCAGCCACUGGGUAGUGAGUCCUUGGAUCGACGGGAGUAAUCCCCGAGAUUAAGCGUAGGACAGCGAGACGAUAGGCCGUAAGCCGUAAGGUUGAAGGGAUUGAGCCCCGAAAGGAUUAGUUGAGAGGGACGACGUUCUAACGCA